rnacentral:lncRNA from 1 species
UCUGGAGACAGGAGCCAGCGUGGGGGUAAGAUGUUAGGAUCGGCCGGCCAGCUGCUGGGGUCUGUGCUCUGCCUCCCUGGGGCAUCAUCAUCUCUGGCCAGGAGUAGGACAGUCACCAUGGAAGCCCUGGGAAUGGAGGGAGAAGAGUGAGUGGUAGAGAAAUAAGACAUUCCUAACUUGUUCUCCCACGAACUUGUUCUUCGCCAUGUUCCUGAUACAUCGGUCUAAAAGCCUUUCAGCGGCCUCCAUGGACAAGUGGAACACUCUUCUUAUGAGCUGCUUGCUCAGUUCCUGAGGGAACUGCACCACAUUUUGCUCUGAGGGCCUCAUGUCAGUCCCCAAGGACGACUCCUGCAGAGUACGUCUGAAACUGCCAGGAUCAACAGGACAUGCCUAUCUGCAAUGGAACGGACAGAAUUGCCCCACCUUACGGCACUUAUGCCUACAUAUAACCAAGAAGACAGGGAGCACCUUCCUCCACCUGCCUGUGUGAAUGGGCUCUUCUAGGGCUCUGAGCACCACUCAGGCAGAGUCUUGGCUGGCCUCACUGCCAAAGAGAGAAGCGAGAACAAGCACAGGCAGACAGAGUGGCAGGCAGAGGCAGAGGGAGAAGCAGGCUCCCCGCCAAGCAAGGAGCCCGAUGUGGGACUCGAUCCCAGGACGCUGGGAUCAUGACCUGAGCCAAAGGCAGCCACUUAACCAACUGAGCCACCCAGGUAUCCCUUGGAGCUUUUUUAAAAUUCAAUUUUACUAAUGUUUUAUUUGACAUUUUGCAUGUCACAGCAAUUUACCUUUAUGUUUUCUUCUACGAGUUUUAUAGUCUCAGCUUCUACACUCAGGUGUUGGGUUUUCAAUUUAUUCUUAAGUCGAAGUUGGAAAUUUAUAUUUUUCUAGGUAGUGAUUCUGAAAGUAUUGUUCCCAGACCAGUAGCAUCAGCACCUCCAGGAAAUUUUUAGAAUGUAAUGUGUCAGACCUCAACCCCAGACCACUGAAUGAGAAACUCUGGGAGGUAGGCCCAAUAAUCUGUGUUUAACAAUUAUCACCUUCAAGUUUAAGAAUCAUUAUUCUAGAAGUGCAUCCUUUUCAUAAAUACUUUUAAGUUAAUUGGUAUAAGGCAUUACUUGUUCUUUUUUUGCUAAUAGUCUCUGACUAUGAAAUUACAUCUCUCUCAUUAUUAAUAUUAUUAGUUUCCUUCUCUCUUUCUUGAUGUUGAUCGUAUUUGCCAAAAGUUUGAAUAUAUUAUUGUUUGAAAGAACCACACUUUGUUUUAUUGAUAAUCUUUUCUGUUUUUAAAUUUUGAUUUAAUUAAUAUUUGCUUUUAUUUUCACUGGUCCCUUUACUCUGUUUUAUUCUGUGGUUCUUUAACUUCUUGAGUUGAAUGUCUCAUUUGUUCAUUUUUAAUCUUUUGUAUUCUCUGAUACAGUGCACUGUAUCCUGUGUGUACACUUUGGCCUUAAUCCUGUAAAUCUGACUUGUAAUGUUCCCAUAUAUUUGUUCCUCAU